UAAGACGAACCGUGCGAACGUUAUUCGGAAUCACUGGGCUUAAAGCGCGUGUAGGCGGGCCGCCCCGUCGGCUGCUGAAAUCCCCCGGCUCAACCGGGGAAGGGGCACCGAUACGAGCGGCCUCGAGGGGGGUAGGGGGGUCUGGAACUUCCGGUGGAGCGGUGAAAUGCGUUGAGAUCGGAAGGAACGCCCGUGGCGAAAG
rnacentral:rRNA from 1 species